GACCUCCGCAACGGAUAUCUCGGCUCUCGCAUCGAUGAAGAACGUAGCGAAAUGCCAUACUUGGUGUGAAUUGCAGAAUCCCGCUGAACCAUCGAGCUUUGAACGCAAUUGCGCCCGAAGCCGUUAGGCCGAGGCACGCCUGCCUGGCGUCA
rnacentral:rRNA from 1 species